AUAGAUGUCAUGGCUAGAGGGAUCAGAAUCUAAAGAAUCAGAGAUAGGGUGAGGAGAUGUAGGAUCAAGUCUACAAGCACAACCUCGACUACGUCUGCCUUGGCCACGGGUAGAGGUACCAGCACAAGUAGUGGGGUGAGAGAAUCCUGGAGCCUGAGAAGCUACGGACUAUGCAAUAAGGGAAAGUCUGAUGGUGUCCAAAAGAUCCAAGGCUCUCGAUAUAGACUAUAUCAGGGCACUGAACUGAGUAGAAGCAUUCUCACUGGAGCCCCUGAUCUCUCUCCUCAAGAAGUCAAAGCCACUCUCUAAAACUCCUCAAAGUCUAGCUGCCUCUGCAGAUAGG
rnacentral:lncRNA from 1 species